GAUGAACGCUAGCGGCAGGCUUAAUACAUGCAAGUCGAGGGGUAGCAAGAUUGUAGCAAUACAAUUGAUGGCGACCGGCAAACGGGUGCGGAACACGUACACAACCUCCCAAUAAGUGGGGAAUAGCCCAGAGAAAUUUGGAUUAAUACCCCGUAACAUAACGAUGUGGCAUCACAUUGUUAUUAUAGAUUUUUCGCUUAUUGAUGGGUGUGCGGCUGAUUAGAUAGUUGGCGGGGUAACGGCCCACCAAGUCUACGAUCAGUAGCUGAUGUGAGAGCAUGAUCAGCCACACGGGAACUGAGACACGGGCCCGACUCCUACGGGAGGCAGCAGUAAGGAAUAUUGGACAAUGGACGCAAGUCUGAUCCAGCCAUGCCGCGUGAAGGAUUAAGGUCCUCUGGAUUGUAAACUUCUUUUAUAAGGGACGAAAAAAGGCUUUUCUAAGUCGUCUGACGGUACCUUAUGAAUAAGCACCGGCUAACUCCGUGCCAGCCGCCGCAGUAAGAC
rnacentral:rRNA from 1 species